rnacentral:rRNA from 1 species
UACGUAGGUGGCGAGCGUUGUCCGGAUUUACUGGGCGUAAGGAGCGCGCAGGCGGCUGGGCAAGUCCGAUGUGAAAGCUUCCGGCUUAACUGGAAAAUUGCAUCGGAAACUGCUCGGCUUGAAGGUGGGAGAGGGUAGCGGAAUUCCCGGUGUAGUGGUGAAAUGCGUAGAUAUCUGGAGGAACACCGGUGGCGAAGGCGGCAUCCUGGACCGAUAUUGACGCUGAGGAGCGAAAGCCAGGGGAGCAAACGGG